rnacentral:rRNA from 1 species
UGCGCAGGCGGCGCUUUAAGUCAGAUGUGAAAUACCCGGGCUUAACCUGGGGGGUGCAUUUGAAACUGGAGCACUUGAGUGCAGGAGAGGUAAGUGGAAUUCCUAGUGUAGCGGUGAAAUGCGUAGAUAUUAGGAGGAACACCAGUGGCGAAGGCGACUUACUGGACUGUAACUGACGCUGAGGCACGAAAGCGUGGGGAGCAAACAGGAUUAGAUACCCUGGUAGUCCACGCUGUAAACGAUGGAUACUAGGUGUAGGGGGCGAUAGUCCUCUGUGCCGCAGCUAACGCAAUAAGUAUCCCGCCUGGGGAGUACGAUCGCAAGGUUGAA